CACGUGCUUUCAAGUUCAAGAAAGAAAAAGUAGUCUGACACUUUUGAAGCAUGGAGGAAGUUGGUCAAACUAUUGUCUGUAUUUGGUGGAAGCUUUGUCUAGUCCUAUAGUGGACCACAGUGACAUAGUCAGGACCAUGGAAAGAGACCAUUGCUGAGGAGAGCGAGUUCCUGGCCAAUCAGGACAUGACGAAGCUGCUCGUAAAGAUGCAGAGUCUGAUGACACACUGGAUGAUGAACCUGAGGAUUUGUACCAACCUGGUGAGGAGGACUUUGACCCCAAUGAGGAUAACUUACUAGCGGAGCUCCACCUAGCAACCAGCGGUAGCAACACACCCGGAGUUUGUACUAACCUGGUGAGGUGGACAUUUGUGUCAUACUUUGUAGAGUCCCUUAAAGUCAUUCAAGAACGAGCUCCGGGAGAGUACACAGGUGGUGACAGAAGAGGAGAGAGAACAUGUGAUGAGUGGCAACUUUGAUCAGCUGUUGGCAGAACAAGAGAGAAUGGACAGAGAGAGAGAUAAUGAGCUAAGGAGAAGAGAAGAAGCACUGAGUGGAAGAAGAGGCCUACUAUGCUGCUAAGAGAGGGGCCUCACGUAAACUGACCACUCAGACGCUAACAGACCUCAACAGUAUGGAAAAGGGUCUGUCAUCAGAGACUAAAAACUCCCCUGACACCCAGCCCUUACAUGCAGCCCACCUCCAGUCUGGUGAGCAGCCUAUAAGCAGUGAGGGACAGUCUGAAGACAUGGGUCCAUGGACAGGGGCUACUGAGGAACCUUCAUCAAGAACAAGUUCCCGAGCCCCACCCCUCACUGUCUGACUCGGAAGAGGAGAUAGACUUUGGAUUCUGGGAGAAGGUGUCCACCCUACCCUCGGACAAGACCCCAACCAUGCAAGGACCUGAACUUGUUAUGAGACUGUCACAUAAUUAGUAUAAUUAUUGUCGGUUUCUUGUCUAUUCGGGAAAUUUAAUUAUGUACCAACUAAUGCCAUUGAUUGUUUUUGCAUAA